CAGCUCACGGUUUUGAAGAAAACCGAAGAGUGUGAUCGACAGUACGUGCUGCCCUUGCCGUGGUGUGGACACAGAGUUCAAGCUUAGACGAGGAGCAGACACUGACGUCACACUUCUGACAGAUUCUUCAUGGACUAGGCAAAAGUUGAGGAAAGCGACCAACACAGCAGUGGACAUUUUCAAAAAGGUAAAUGAAGAAUUCAGAGCCCAAACCGAAGUUUAAGCCAAGAUGCAAAAAAAGAAAAAAAAGAUCAAAGAGCCUGGGACAGAAUCCUGGCAACAGUGAACCCAGGAGCAUGGGCCCUCAGGUUGCCCUUAGAUUUCAGGAUCUCUUCCAGCACAUUCAUAGGCAGAUGGAGGGCCACGCCCACGAACCCCUCUACCCGCACCAUCUCUACCCUGAGGAGUUGCUCUUCCUUCUCCAACUUCUUUACCUAGUAUAAGUGGUAAACCAUCAUCACCACUAUCACCUUUGUUGGAGGACCUCCUCCUCCAAAAUCACCACUUGCUGGGUCUUAUGGAAUAAA